rnacentral:rRNA from 1 species
UACGUAGGGACCGAGCGUUGUCCGGAAUCAUUGGGCGUAAAGAGCGUGUAGGCGGCUUGUUAAGUCUUGCGUGAAAUCUCGGGGCUCAACCCCGAGCGGUCGUGAGAAAACUGGCAGGCUAGAGUGCGGGAGAGGAGAGUGGAAUUCCUGGUGUAGCGGUGAAAUGCGCAGAUAUCAGGAAGAACACCCGUGGCGAAGGCGGCUCUCUGGAACGCAACUGACGCUGAGACGCGAAAGCGUGGGGAGCAAACAGG